rnacentral:lncRNA from 1 species
AAAACCCUUUGGUGUAUACAUUUAACUCCCUAAUAUUUUAUAUCAGUGAAACAAAUACCUUUUCCAGUUGUGAAGCCUUUGCAUUUCCUAGUGUUCUCUCCAUUUUGUCCAUUAGGAAGUCUUCAUAUCCCAUACAUGCAGGAUUUCUGUACUUUUAAAUACUUCCAGUGACUAAGGGUUUGGAUAUAUCAGCUCUUUUUGUUUUAAAAAUAUUUAACACUAAAACCUUAAAAUAGUGAAACUACUUUUCAGACCACUGAGCCAGUAUCCUGAUAUCUAAAGAACGUUUGGGUGCUUGUUGUAAAGGGACAGAGUAUUGAUAACCCAGCUCUUUGGGAGCUUGGAGCCUGGAAUGGGAUUUGUCUUGCUGUCUUUCAGAUCCUUCUUACCCAGUGAAGCCUAGUAAUAAGAGGGAAGCCUUCCUGUAAGGCUCUCCAAUGCUCACCAGUGCUGUGUGCAUAUGUGGAGUAUGCACACACUCAGCAUGCGUUGCAUGUCUUUCAGAAUUACAUAAGUAAAGCCCCUUUCAAAACUUGCAAGUGAGGAAAGAUUCUGUUUGUCUGGCAGAAGAAAUGUUUCCUAUACUCAUAUGCUCCUGCCCUGCCGGCCCUUCCUCGGCCCCAGGCUUAAAAUUGGAUGCAUCAGGUCUGUGGGAAGCCUCAGCAUGGCCACAAGUGCAAUAAUUUCAUACACAGCCUCCUGUCUCAGUUAUAUUCUUACAUGAGUACAUUUAAGUGCAUACAGAAGGAUUCAUGCAAGAGCCUAGUGUGUACAUGUGAAAAUAAAGUGAGAAAACUGUCAACCAGGGGAAAAAGAGGUCAUACAAAAUGCAGAUUCUUCUUCUAACAGCCCUGCAAGACAACUGCAACCUCACCAAAACAAAACAAAGAGCAAAAUCAGAACUGUUCGAGGAAGUGGUCUUUAAAGGAACCUCGGCUGAGAAGCUUUUAUAUUUCAGGAGCAGAAAUGUCAAAUGGCCACGUGUCUGUGCACGUCUGUGUCUUACAACAGAGUGUGGUCGUUGGCCCUAGGCUUGGUCCAGCUGUGUAGAGUGUUUAACCGAUGAGUAGAGUACAGUAUUCUCUGGUUAAUAAAAUUAUUCUAUUUAGUGCACUUGUUGCACAGAUGAACAUAGACACAAAGAGGCUAUAUGUCUUCUGCUGAACACUUUUAAGUCAGUAGUGGUGCCUUUAGGCAAAACCGUCAAAAUUAAUCAUUCUUUUGGGUUUUCUGAUAUUUUUUUUUUCAGGUAGUGUAAAACUACAAAAAACCCAUCACAGCUUAUUCACCUAAAAUUUGAUUGUAUGACUUAAAUGUCACACUUAGAUGAGCAUUUCCUAUAGCUCAAGUGUCCCAUGCAGUUGCUGGAAACAGUUGUGCCAUUGACCAGUGGAUGCACUUUGUUAGCCUUAAUUUAAACAACAACAACAACAAAAUUUCUUGAAUAUAUCAGUUUGAUCACUACAAGUUUGCUGCAGGUGUUUGGGGAAAAAAGAGUUAAGUGCAAUGAAAGUGUACCUUUUUUUUUAGAAAAAAAUUAAGAACAUAAUUUUCACAAUCUACAGUUUUAAUUUUGUGCAAUAUUUUCAUUUAAUGCAUGUUUGAGUAAUUGUAUAAUAACUACAUUUUUAAUGUUUUGAGAUCUAAUUUAACUGUCUUAUUAACCCAACAACUUCAUUCCGUUGUUGCUGCACCUUAAUUAAGGACUUGUUUUAAAAGUCUUUUUGUCACUCCUUGUAAAAUUCUUUUCUUAGUAGAAAAUUUUGCUUAUGGGAGCAUGGCUCCUGUAUUAUAAGGGAAAACUAAAGAGCACAUUUUAGGGUUUUAAUUGUUAAAAACUACCUUGUGCAUAUCUCUGUAUAUAAGCGUCGAUCGUGCCUACCGCUCUAUCAAUGCUCUCCUCUAACCAAGGGGAAAGAAUCAGAAUGUCAGUUACUUUUAUUAACGACAGAAAUUAAAAUUUUUAUUUGGUUUGUGUUAUGUUCUGUCUGUUAGAAAAUACUAAUAAAGUAUUAACAAAC